GGGCGUGUAACUCAGUGGUAGAGUGCUCGCUUUGCACCAUUCUUUGUGAUGAUUCAUAAUUGCGAGAAGCCCAGGGUUCGACUCCCUGCUCGUCCA